UAUUUUAAUUAUGAUGUCACAACUGAUCAAUAAAUUCCAAAUGUUCUGUUUGAACAUUCUGGUGUCUGGUUGCUAAAAAUAGAACACCAGUAUCUAAGACAAUCUAGCAGAUUCCUCCUGAGAUAUAGUUAACACAGUAGAUCACCAUAAAAUAUAGAAAGUGCUACUAGACGAAAACUUAGUUGCAGAACGAGGUUAGAAGAAUGCCACUGUCAAUCUCCUUGAUGAUGAGGAGAUUCUUGCGGCCGCUACAGGAAGAUAAUGCUUUAACAGGAAAUCUUGGAGCUGCCAGUAGCAACUCCGUUCAGCCUGCCCUGCCAUCUCAACCCAAGGCCACUGAGAAGCUUCCAGGGCUCAAACAAAACCGUUUUAACACCUCCAGAAUCACAGUACUGGAGUUGACUGAAGAAAGAAAGGGUGCUCUGCAGCGACUUGCCAGUUUGAAGGCUGUGGAAAAGAAACCACAUCCUCCCUCCAGAAUCCCAGUACUGCAGAAAAAGAGGUCCAUCUGCAAUGGGAGGAGUCAAGGACAGCAUGUAGCUCCAACAUCUCAGCAGUCAGGAAAGGCUUCUGUUCCUCCCAUCCAUAUUCCACUGCAACCCAUCCGUACCAAGAGGGAUCAAACCUGCAUGGUGAAAGACAUCUACCUCCAUAGUGCCAAGCCAUUGAAGGCAGUCCAUGGAGCCAAUAUGGUCACCAAGAUGCCACUGCCUCCCAUUAGAGCCAGAGUCACUGUGCCAAACAAUGACGCCAAGAAGAAGCCAUUCCAGCCAGUCAGACCAGAGGGCAGCCCUCGUCCUGCUGCUUCAAAGUACAGAAGGCAGGUUGUGAAGAAACACGUUCAGUUCAAGACUCAGACCCUAACUGUACAGGAUCUACCGCCAUGCCCCGAUGAUAUGGUAUGGGACGUCUUUAACUCAGAGGCUGAGCAGGUGAUGGCAUAUAUGAAGGCCAAGCUGAUCAGUGUCACCCAAGAAUUGAAACUGAUUAAGAGUGGGGCCAAGUUGGAUGCUCAGGCUUUAGAGGAGAAAAACGCAAAAGUGCGGUUGAGAAAAAAGGUGGAGAAGUUCAUCCAGGAGAUUUGCCUGAUGAAGGUGGAUUCUGACCUAUGGGAGAUGAUAAGAGAUAACGAAGAAGAGGAAGAAAGGAGUAAAGAGGUGAGGAGAAAUGAAGAACAAAGCAGUGUGGCAAGUAAGCCAAAGCAGACAGCCAUGAGAUAUACUGUGAUCAAGCCAAAGGAAGUCAAGAAGGGUUUGAACAUGGAAGAGAAAAAGGAGGACAGACAGGUAAAGUAGCUUGACAUUCCAAAGCCAUGCUAACUGCUGAUCUAGUAUAGUGUUGGUGAUCACGUGUGUUUGUAUCAGAGGAGGCUGAUAGGAUGAGUUAUAGGAGGAUAGGAUCGUUGUAAUGGCUGGAAUGAAAUGAAUUGUUCGAAACAAACGUGGUUUCCAUGUGAUUGAUGUGUGUGAUACCGUUCCUUUUAUUCUAUUCCAGCCAUUAC
rnacentral:lncRNA from 1 species